UAGUCCACGCCCUAAACGAUGUAUACUCGAUGUUUGGAUUUAUUUCUGGGCAUCCAAGGGAAACCAUUAAGUAUACCACCUGGGGAGUACGUCGGCAACGAUGAAACUCAAAGGAAUUGACGGGGGCCCGCACAAGCGGUGGAGCAUGUGGUUUAAUUCGAUGAUACGCGAGGAACCUUACCAGGGCUUAAAUGUAGUGUGACAGGGGUAGAGAUACCUUUUUCUUCGGACACAUUACAAGGUGCUGCAUGGUUGUCGUCAGCUCGUGCCGUGAGGUGUCAGGUUAAGUCCUAUAACGAGCGCAACCCCUACCGUUAGUUGCCAGCAUGUAAAGAUGGGGACUCUAACGGGACUGCCGGUGCAAACCGAGAGGAAGGUGGGGAUGACGUCAAAUCAUCACGGCCCUUACGUCCUGGGCUACACACGUGCUACAAUGGCCGGUACAAUGAGCAGCCACGUCGCAAGGCGGAGCGAAUCUAAAAAACCGGUCACAGUUCGGAUCGGGGUCUGCAACCCGA
rnacentral:rRNA from 1 species